UGGAGGCGACCGGCGGAUGGGUGAGUAACGCGUAUGCAACCUUCCUUCUACUUUGGGAUAGCUCGUUGAAAGACGAAUUAACACCUUAUAAUACAAACAUUCCGCAUGGAUUUGUUUGUUAAAAAUUUAUUGGUAGCAGAUGGGCAUGCGUUCCAUUAGCUUGUUGGUGAGGUAACUGCUCACCAAGGCAUCGAUGGAUAGGGGAACUGAGAGGUUUGUCCCCCACACUGGAACUGAGACACGGUCCAGACUCCUACGGGAGGCAGCAGUGAGGAAUAUUGGUCAAUGGAGGCAACUCUGAACCAGCCAAGUCGCGUGAAGGAUGACAGCCCUACGGGUUGUAAACUUCUUUUUUAAGGGAAUAAAGUGAGCCACGUGUGGUUCAUUGCAUGUACCUUACGAAUAAGGAUCGGCUAACUCCGUGCCAGCAGCCGCGGUAAUACGGAGGAUCCGAGCGUUAUCCGGAUUUAUUGGGUUUAAAGGGUGCGCAGGCGGAAUACUAAGUCGGCGGUGAAAGUUUGCAGCUUAACUGUAAAAUUGCCGUUGAAACUGGUAUUCUU
rnacentral:rRNA from 1 species